AGUGAACGCUGGCGGUAGGCCUAACACAUGCAAGUCGAACGGCAGCACAGUAAGAGCUUGCUCUUACGGGUGGCGAGUGGCGGACGGGCGAGGAGUACAUUGGAAUGUACUUUUUCGUGGGGACUAACGUAGGGAAACUUACGCUACUACCGCUUAUAACCUACGGGUGAAAACAGGCGAUCUUCGGACUUUGCGCGAUUGAAUGAGCCGAUGUCGGAUUAGCUAGUGGGCGGGGUAAAGGCCCAAUAAGGCGACGCCCCGUAACUGGUCUGAGAGGAUGAUCAGCCACACUGGAACUGAGACACGUACCAGACUACUACGAGAGGCAGAAGUGGGGAAUAUUGGACAAUGGGAGCAAGCCUGAUCCAGCCAUACCGCGUGAGUGAAGAAGGCCUUCGGGUUGUAAAGCUUAGUUGUUGUGAAAGAAAAGCAGCAGUUUAAUAUACCGCUGUUCUGACGGUACUCAAAGAAUAAGCACCGGCUAACUUCGUG
rnacentral:rRNA from 1 species